GAUGAACGCUGGCGGCGUGCCUAAUACAUGCAAGUCGAGCGAACAGAUGAGGAGCUUGCUUCUCUGACGUUAGCGGCGGACGGGUGAGUAACACGUGGAUAACCUACCUAUAAGACUGGGAUAACUUCGGGAAACCGGAGCUAAUACCGGAUAAUAUAUUGAACCGCAUGGUUCAAUAGUGAAAGACGGUUUUGCUGUCACUUAUAGAUGGAUCCGCGCUGCAUUAGCUAGUUGGUAAGGUAACGGCUUACCAAGGCAACGAUGCAUAGCCGACCUGAGAGGGGGAUCGGCCACACUGGCACUGAGACACGGUCCAGACUCCUACGGGAGGCCGCAGUAGGGAAUCUUCCGCAAUGGGCGAAAGCCUGACGGAGCAACGCCGCGUGAGUGAUGAAGGUCUUCGGAUCGUAAAACUCUGUUAUUAGGGAAGAACAUAUGUGUAAGUAACUGUGCACAUCUUGACGGUACCUAAUCAGAAAGCCACGGCUAACUACGUG
rnacentral:rRNA from 1 species